AGUGAACGCUGGCGGUAGGCCUAACACAUGCAAGUCGAACGGCAGCACAGUAAGAGCUUGCUCUUACGGGUGGCGAGUGGCGGACGGGUGAGGAAUACAUCGGAAUCUACUUUUUCGUGGGGGAUAACGUAGGGAAACUUACGCUAAUACCGCAAACGACCUACGGGUGAAAGUAGGGGAUCUUCGGACCUUGCGCGAUUGAAUGAGCCGAUGUCGGAUUAGCUAGUUGGCGGGGUAAAGGCCCACCAAGGCGACGAUCCGUAGCUGGUCUGAGAGGAUGAUCAGCCACACUGGAACUGAGACACGGUCCAGACUCCUACGGGAGGCAGCAGUGGGGAAUAUUGGACAAUGGGCGCAAGCCUGAUCCAGCCAUACCGCGUGGGUGAAGAAGGCCUUCGGGUUGUAAAGCCCUUUUGUUGGGAAAGAAAAGCAGCAGGUUAAUACCCCGCUGUUCUGACGGUACCCAAAGAAUAAGCACCGGCUAACUUCGUG
rnacentral:rRNA from 1 species